rnacentral:rRNA from 1 species
GCGAGUGGCGAACGGGUGAGUAACAUAUCGGAACGUGCCCAGUAAUGGGGGAUAGCCCGGCGAAAGCCGGAUUAAUACCGCAUACGACCUACGGGCGAAAGCGGGGGACCUGCAAGGGCCUCGCGUUAUUGGAGCGGCCGAUAUCAGAUUAGCUAGUUGGUGGGGUAAAGGCCUACCAAGGCGACGAUCUGUAGCUGGUCUGAGAGGACGACCAGCCACACUGGGACUGAGACACGGCCCAGACUCCUACGGGAGGCAGCAGUGGGGAAUUUUGGACAAUGGGCGCAAGCCUGAUCCAGCCAUGCCGCGUGUGGGAAGAAGGCCUUCGGGUUGUAAACCACUUUUGUCAGGGAAGAAACGGUCUGCCCUAAUACGGUGGGCUAAUGACGGUACCGUAAGAAUAAGCACCGGCUAACUACGUGCCAGCAGCCGCGGUAAUACGUAGGGUGCGAGCGUUAAUCGGAAUUACUGGGCGUAAAGCGUGCGC